rnacentral:lncRNA from 1 species
CGCCGUCUUCCAGCAGAAACCACCUCGACCUCCACUGACGCCGAACGCCUUCGAAUCUCUCAGCUCGCAGAACGCUUCCUCAACCUCGAGUUGCGCCGCGGCGGACGAGGCUCUGUUCGAUUCGGUCCCCACCGACGAGACCUGAGCGGAGUAACUUGGCUUCGAGCCGUAGCUGACGUUUCGAACCUGAACCGCCGCGUCGAGUUCGAGCUGGUAGUGACCGGACUGCUUUGCCGUGACCGGGUCGGCCUGGUCCCGAUCGAUCGAAACCGGAGCAAUGCAGCAUAGCGGUUUCAUAUUCUCACCACCACCUCACCAUUCAAAUCAACCAAAAAAAACCUCGCCAAUCAAUCUAACUCCCAUCCAACGCCGAUCACCCGGCUCCGAUUAACGGAAAUGUAGCACCGGAUCGGAGUCCAAUGCCCGAAGCCAAAACGCACCGUUUCGAUUCC